AUGCUUUUCAGAUAUGGGUGCCAGUGAGACUGGAGAGCCAAGGCUACACUCUACAGAAAGUCUGAGCGCCGCCUCAUUGAUCAGGAAAUGAAUUACACUGAAAUACAAAGAACUGUGUGGAAGUCCAGGGUAAUAAAUAGCAGUUAUUAAUGGAUAUUUUGCCUAUUGUAAAGAGGAAUUCUUUAUUCCUUUUUUAAUUUAAUAGGGGACCUCUUACCAUAGAGAUGUGGAGGGAUAAACCAGCCCAUAGUGACAGGAAGGAGAAACCAGAGAGACAGGAAGAAGAAACCAUAGUGACAGGAAGUAAGGUAGAAAAAGGAUAUAAAAGGCUGUCAGUUGCUGACAGGUAGGGCUGGCCGUGGAGGGGAUGUUGGCUGCUGGGCACGAGUUGGUCACUGGGGAUUGGCUGCUGCUGGUACUGUUUUAAAGAGCCUUCACGCUCGAAUUUCCAGACCAGUGUCAUCCAAUAAACACAACACUCCCAGAGAAAUGAUAUUGCAGACACAUUUUAACACCAAAAGGAGGUGUGAAGCUGAAAUGACAAACGUGUUGAUGGCAUGUCACAGAAGAAAUGUGUGCUGA
rnacentral:lncRNA from 1 species